rnacentral:rRNA from 1 species
UGGGGAAUUUUGCACAAUGGGGGAAACCCUGAUGCUGCGACGCCGCGUGAUUUAGAAGGCCUUCGGGUUGUAAAAAUCUUUUUUACGGGAUGAAAAUGACAGUACCGUAAGAAUAAGGUCCGGCUAAAUACGUGCCAGCAGCCGCGGUAAUACGUAUGGACCGAGCGUUGUCCGGAAUCAUUGGGCGUAAAGGGUACGUAGGCGGCCUAGUAAGUUAGAAGUGAAAUAAUAUAGCUCAACUAUAUAAAGCUUUUAAAACUGCUAGGCUUGAGAGAUGGAAGGGAAAGUGGAAUUCCUAGUGUAGCGGUGAAAUGCGCAGAUAUUAGGAAGAAUACCGGUGGCGAAGGCGACUUUCUGGUCAUCAUCUGACGCUGAGGUACGAAAGCGUGGGUAGCAAACAGG